UGGGGAAUCUUGCACAAUGGGGGAAACCCUGAUGCAGCGACGCCGCGUGAGCGAUGAAGCCCUUCGGGGUGUAAAGCUCUUUCGGCAGGGACGAAACAUGACGGUACCUGCAGAAGCAGCUGCGGCUAACUACGUGCCAGCAGCCGCGGUAAUACGUAGGCAGCAAGCGUUGUUCGGAGUUACUGGGCGUAAAGGGUGCGUAGGCGGUCCUUUAAGUUUGGUGUGAAAUCUCCCGGCUCAACUGGGAGGGUGCGCCGGAUACUGAGGGACUUCGAGUGCGGGAGGGGAGAGUGGAAUUCCUGGUGUAGGGGUGAAAUGCGUAGAUAUCAGGAGGAACACCGGUGGUGUAAACGGCUCUCUGGACCGUAACUGACGCUGAGGCACGAAAGCGUGGGUAGCAAACA
rnacentral:rRNA from 1 species